CCCAGCAGAGUCGUCAAACUGUCAUACCCUAUUUUUACCUAAGGUCAAAACGAGCACGAUAUUAUAAACUCUAAAAGAAUUGAUUUUAUACAGAGUUGCCACCUAAUUUUUAAGAAAAAUAAGAAAACCUAUUUAUUUAUUUAUUAACAAGUAUAACUUUAUUUCAUCUACGAAAUCAUUUUAGAUUUCAGAUAAGGAUUCAAAUUAUUCCAAAAGGAAAGAGGUUAGGCAUCCUUCAAAAUCCACAAAUGUGGUGUCCGACCAGACUUAAAUUUAUUAAAAAAUAAAGAAAAAAAUCAAUGUUUAUAAAUACAAUUAUAAAAUGUGUAUUAAAAUGAUAUAAAUAAUUUAUAUAUAAAUAAUGUAUAAAUUGCAUAUGCUAUCGUAAAAAUCAUAUGUAUAAGAAAUGUUGAAGAAAAACGAAAGUACAUGAGAAUAUGUAUUAAAAAUGAAAAGAUUGAAUGUAGAAAAAAUUUGCUCUAAAGAAAAGAUUACGUAAUAUUUUAGUGUAAAAAAUGUGAAUUAUUCAAUUAAAUAUCUAAAUCAAUUUAAUUCUUUUAUAUAAAUUGUAAUGGCCUAAAUUUGCCUAUACUCACUGAAGAUUGUAUAAAUAACGAAUAUCCCCACUCAAUGCCCCAAAAAUAAAGUUUUCACUAUGAUAAUAUUUGUACAAGUAUAAGAAGAUAAAAAUAUAAUGCAAAAUUUAAAGUCUUCUAUGAAUGCUGUUUCCGACGAGUAUUGUCAAUAACCUGUUUAAACACUUAUAAUAAAAAUGUUAGUAACAAAUAAAUAGUUAUAAAAGGGCAUGUAUGCAUAUAUGUAUUCAAAAUAUAUUUUUUGUUAAAAAAACAGGCUCAGAGAAAGUUUUUUAAAAAAUAAAAGAUUUCAUUAUUGCCCAAAUUUAUUUAUUUUAUUAAGUAUUUGUAUACAUAAUAUCCGUCGACUUUUUAUUUGCGGAGGCCUCAAAAAUCGACGAAAAAUUUCUCCAUCCGCCAAUUAAGUAGCCUUUUGACCAUAAAAACUAAAAUUUUUCGAAGUUGGAGUUAAAAUUAGAGUUGAAAUUAGAGUUGGAGCUGUGUUUGGCCAUGUCUUUUUUGAAAUUUCUUUUUUGACUUUUGAAAAAACUUUUUUAAAUAUGAUUUUAUACCCCAAUUUUUACAAACUAUCAAAAUCACCCAACUAAAAUUUAUCUACUAAUGAAAAAAGAACACAAUUAGCCACUAUAAUAAAAAUAAUUACAUAUACAUGACCAUAUUUAAUAAAUUUCAAUUAUGACAUAUAUAAUAUUUACAUUAAUAGCCGUUUUCACAUAUUUAAAAAUUUUAAAUAUGAAUGUUAUAUUAGCAGGUCACUGCCUCAUGUUUUUUAGAUAACAAAUAUUAUCUUUCAAAUAAAUUUAUUUUUUUAGAAAUUUAUUUAAUUUAUUUCCUUCAUUUUUCGUUCCUAAAAUAUAGGAAAUGAUGAGUUGUUAUUAAAUUUUAGGGUGCCCCUAAUUUAUUUCUUUAAUUUUCUUAUACAUGAAAGAUUUUACUGUGUGUAAAUAAAUUAUUUCUAUGUAAAAUAUGCUUUGCAUAUUUAUGGUAUAAUAUAUCAAAUACCAUAAAUAUAUAAAUAUGCUUAGUAUGUUUGUUUAUACUUUGUAUUUUUAUAUAUGUGUGUAUAUAGUAUAUACAUGAUAUAAACUUCAUAUAUAACAUAAUUUGUAUAUUUAUAUUAUAAAUAUACUUAAUAUGUUUCUUAAUACUUUGUAUAUUUAUAUAUAUGUGUAUAUGAUAUAUACAUGAUAUAAACUUUAUAUAUAACAUACUUUGUAUAUUUCUAUUAUAAAUAUAAUACUUUAUAUAUUUAUGGGUAUAAAUAUAAAUUUGUAGUAAAAUAAUGUCUUAAAUAAGGGAUAAAAAUAAUGAUUAUAAAUAUGAUACUUUAUAUAUUUAUGAAUAUAAAUAUAAAUUAGCAGUAAAAUAAUGUCUUAACUAAAGAAGAAAAUUAAAUAAAAGAUAAAACUAAUGAUGAGAGAGAAAAAGAGAUAUAUAUUAAUUAGAAUAACAUUAAAUUUGAAAUUAUAAUUAUCUUAUUCUUUAAAACUGCUAUAUACGUAAUAUUGAAAAAGUAAUGUUAUAAGGAGAGUUUUAUGUAAAAAUUUAAAAGAUUGAGGUUAUAUAUAAUAAUAAUAAAAGUUAGAAUUCAAAAAUUGUGAAAAUAAUAAAAGCCUGUUUUCCUUUUCAGAAAAAUUUUUUGAAAUUAUUUUUCGAAUUUUCAUGACCAAACACCACAAUUUUCAACUUUGAAAUUUUUUUUCAAAAAAGAGGAAAAAAUUUUCAUGGCCAAAGGGCCCUAAAUUAAUCCUGAAUAUAGAAGAAACAAUCAAAUACAAGUAAUUAAAUAAUAAAAAAAUAAAAGAUAAAAAUAAAAUAUGUCUUAUGUCUUUUGUCUUGAGGAGAUAUCAAAGAUUAACGGAGAAAUUUUAUUAUUAUUCAAAUAAUUUAUUAAUAUCGUAGAAUAAAAUAAAACCAAAACAUUCAACUAAAAUAGUCUAACUUGGAACCAAAUUAAAAAUGGCAAUUUCCAAAAAACUAAAUAAAAUUGUGAUGGUGAAUCAAAUCGUCUCUAAAAAGUUAUUUUUUUAAGAAAAUAAUGAAUCAUCAAUUGCAUAAGAUUUAAUCUUGAGUAAACAUCAACUGUGAGGAGUAAAACAUUGGAGAACAAAAUCAAUAUGUCCAAAAAAAAAUCACGAAAAAGAUCAAGCAGCCAUGAAAACAAACAUACAUAGAUUAUCGAAGAGAAAUUCAAGCAAAAUCAACCCAAAAUUAAUAAAAUAAUGUAAAAAUAGUCCAAAAUAAAAAUGGCGACACUUCAAAUUUAUUUCCACAAAACAUGCAAAAUAAUGGUAAAGCGAAAAGAAGAAGCUUUCACCGGGUUUUAAGUUUUUCCGGUAACAUGGUCAUGGUUUCCGGCCAAAUCUGAAAAUAAACAGAAAAAAAUAAUAGCAGUCAAAAGAGAAUGGAUCAUCGGUGUUGCUUCAACGGAUUUUACCGGAGCAACACCGGAGAGGAAUUUUCGACCAAAUCUGUUCCGGUCACUACCUCCGGCCAGGCAGCGGCGGUAGACGACAGAAAGAGAGGAAGCUGGGGCGGCAGAUGGUUUUUGUUGGUGGUUGAAACUCACCGGCCAUCAACUCCAGUGAGAUAGCGAAGAAAGUGAAUUAAUAAGGAGUUUGCAACUUGGGAUGGUGGUCGCCGGCGGUGGGAAAGAGAGCAAGGGGGGGGCACUGGUUGGAGGCUGGAAAGAGAGAU
rnacentral:lncRNA from 1 species